ensembl:lncRNA
GGACACCAAUGAACUCCUGCCGGUUGUGUCUUUCUGACAAACCCAACAGCCUCCCUAGAGCGGGUAUCUAGGGUGAUCUCUCUCUCACGGAUGGUUGAGUCGCCCCUAGGACCUGGUGGCCUGCUCACAAAGUCUCCUUCCCAGCCUCAGGUGACCUGCCCAUCCUGCUGCAGGGAACUGGCCCUUCAGCAGUGGGAGGGGAGCCCCCCUUGCCAGUGUCCUGGUCCUCAGGCUCCAGCUACGAUGAAGUGGGUGCCAUGGCGAGCACCAGGCUGUGAGCCCACUGCGCCUUCUGUGUUGGUGCUUCUCCUUGGGGUGCUUCCAGGCACAGCUUGUCCUAAUUCGCUGUGGUUUCCUCUGAACACGGCAGUGAGUUUCCUCAGACAUCCCUCUGGGGUCUUCCCUGGUUUCUUGGAAGAAUCCUUCCUUCUCAGCAUUAGUGAUGCUUCUCCUGGCUUCAUCCCACACCCCGAGGCCUCUGAUGGCAGCUCUUAAGAGCCCCGGCUCCUCUGAUGGACCCAAACACUUGGCAUGAGGUUAAGUUAUGACAAACUGCCCUCCUUCCUGGUUUUUUUUGGUAUGUUCCUGGCUACUAUUAUCCUUUUAAUACAUCACUUAAUUUGGGAUCCUACUGUGUGAUGAAGGAUUUUUGCAUGUAUGUUCAUGCUUGGAAUUGUCCUGCCAUGUUUUUCCUUCUUUGUUUUACUUUGGUUUCAAAAUAAUAACGGCCUCAUAGAAGGAGACAGGGGGGAUUUUUCCCUCUUUCUCCAAGGGAGGAAUGAUGUAUGGCUGGAAUGAUCUCACCUGUACAACCAUCUGGGAGUAUUAGUUAUCCUGAAGGAAAAAUUUUAAAGAACUUAUGGAAUUUCAGCAGUUCAGUAAUUAACUCAGGCUUACUAUUUUUCUCAAAUCAGUUUCGUUCAUUUAUAAGCUGUAUUUAUUUAGACGUUUAUUCAUUCGAUCUGUUUCCAAAUUUAUCAGCUUAAAGUUGUAGUAUUUUCUUCUUGUUGGAUCUGUACUCAUGCGUCCUUUUAAAUUCUCCACGUUAUUGGUUUGAAUCUUCUUGUUAUCAGACUUGCCAGAGAUUUAUUUUGUGUCUCUUCAAAAACCAAAUUCUGGCUUUUUAUCUGUCUUAUUAAAUUCUGCUUUUAUCUCUCACAAUGUUCAUUUUUCUUGGUUUUAUUAUAGUUCUUUUUCUCACUUAAAAUUGCAGCUCAUUUAUUUUUUAGCAUCUUUUAUAUCAACAGUUAAGCAGUACGUUUCACUUUAAGUACUAUUGUCAUGAAAUCUCACGUUUUGACACGCAGCAUUUUAUUGUCGUUCGGUUCUAAAUAUUUUAAAGAUCCCAUUAGUUCUUCCCUGACAUAUGGGUUAUUUAGAUGUGUAUUUUAAAAUAUCCAAAUAUAUCAGAAUUUUGACUUGUCUUCUCUCAAAGUUUCAUUGUGGAAAAUUUCAAACAUCUAGCGGAGUUGAAAGAAUUUGCAGAGAACACCCAUUUGCCUGCUUAGGUUUUGCCUUUAACGUUUCCUUACCUGUUAGCAUGUCUGUCCUCCACAUCCACCCAUCUCUUCACCCAUGGAUCUAUAUUUUUUAGAUGCGUUUCAAAAUACAUUGCAGAUUUCAGUACACUUCCUCCUAAGUACCUCAGCAUGUGUUAACUGGGUUCAAAACGUGUUUCUUUUUCCUUUGUUUCAGAAUUUUCAUCUUGUGGAGUGUACAAGUCGUAACUGCACAGCCCCUGGGUCUUGAUGAUGCGUAAAGCGCUAUCAGGCUGUAGAACAGCGUCCUCACCUCUGGAAGUUCCCAUCAUGCUUCUUCCCCUGACAGGACCACAGUUCUGAUUUUUUCUGCCAUAAAAUAGUCUUGCACAUUCUAGACCCAUUCACAUAGAACAGAAUCAUACAAUGCACACUCUUUUGUGUAAGGCUUCUUUCACUUGGCACAAUGUUUCUGAGGUCCACCCAUGCUGUUUUGCGUAUCUAAAGUCUGUUUCUUUAGAGUGCUGGGCAAUCUGCUGUUAUGUGACUCUACCACAAUUUGUUUUUUCCAUUUUCUUACCCCUGAAAAACUGGGCUAAUUUUAUAUUUUGGCUGAAUGAAUAAAGUGGCUCCAGAAUUCUUGUACA